GUUUUACCAAUUUGUGUCCUGCUUUUAGGCAAAUAGGAAGAGGCAGACAGCUUGCUCUUUCCCUCCCUCCCUUCCUUCCUUCCUCCCUCUCUUCCUCACUUCCCCCUCCCUUCCUCCCUCCCUUCCUCCCUUCCUUCCUUCCUCCCUUCCUUCCUCCCUUCCUUUCUCCCUUCCUCCCUUCCUCCCUCUCUCCCUCCUCCCUUCCUCCUUCCCUCCCUCUCUCCCUUCCUCCCUUCCUCCCUCUUUCUUUUCUUUCUUUCUGACAGAGUCAUGAAAGAAAGAGCCCAGGCUGGAGUGCAGUGGUAUGAUGAUAGCUCACUGUAGUCUCGACCUGCUGGGCUCAAGCGAUCCUCCCACCUCAGCCUCCCGAGUAGCUGGUACUGUAGGCACAUGCCACUAUGCCUGGCUAAUUUUUGUAUUUUUUUGUAGAGACAGGGUUUUGCCAUGUUGCUUAGGCUGGUCUUGAACUCCCGGGCUUGUGAUCCACCAAUCUUGGCCUCCCAAAGUGCCGGAAUUACAGCUGGAGCAAACCUCUCCUGGAUGCACAUCUCUGGAAGCCCCAGGUUCUGAAUGGCAGCUGGAUCUCAGGCUGAAGAGGAGGAAGAAGAGGAUGGGUUGGUCUUGAUGUCUCACGGGUGGCAGAGGCAGAAGAAAAUCCAUCUCACGUGACAGUCACAUGAUUUCUGCAGUGAGCCCCAAAGCUUCCACGAGCUUUCCUGGAACCUACGGCCAGAAGAGUCCUGAGAUUUCGAAUAUUAAAGCUUUCUCC
rnacentral:lncRNA from 10 species